rnacentral:rRNA from 1 species
AGGACGAACGCUGGCGGCGUGCUUAACACAUGCAAGUCGAGCGGAAAGGCCCUUCGGGGUACUCGAGCGGCGAACGGGUGAGUAACACGUGAGCAACCUGCCCUUAGCUCUGGGAUAGCUCCGGGAAACCGGAAUUAAUACCGGAUAUGACCUAGGCCGACAUCGGCCGUGGUGGAAAGUUUUUCGGCUAGGGAUGGACUCGCGGCCUAUCAGCUAGUUGGUGGGGUAAUGGCCUACCAAGGCGACGACGGGUAGCCGGCCUGAGAGGGCGACCGGCCACACUGGGACUGAGACACGGCCCAGACUCCUACGGGAGGCAGCAGUGGGGAAUCUUGCGCAAUGGGCGAAAGCCUGACGCAGCGACGCCGCGUGGGGGAUGGAAGGCCUUCGGGUUGUAAACCCCUUUCAGCAGGGACGAAGCGAAAGUGACGGUACUGCAGAAGAAGCGCCGGCUAACUACGCGCCAGCACGCCGC